rnacentral:lncRNA from 1 species
AUUAUUACUAUUAUUAUUAUUAUUACAGAAACUAACAGCGCAGGUACGAUCGGAUAUCUUGGAUAAAAGAGUAAGAAAUCCACCUAAGUAGAUGGAGUGAAGAAUGAUUGCACACAGAAACCUUCCCACGCAGCCAAGGUGCCUUCCUGCGCAGCCAAGUAGCUUUCCCGUGCAGCCGCGCAGCCAAACCAGAGCAGCGCAGCAGAGCUGCGCAGCCAGAGCAGAGCAGCGCAGACCAAAGCAGCGCGGCAGCGCUGCGCAGUCAGAGCAGCGCCACCAAAGUGCCUUU